UGUGAUCGGAAAAUUUUCAGUUUUCGGGAGGGGAACUUGUGGGUGAUUAUGGGGUUUCGCUAUUAGUGACGGAUACGAGUAAGGUGGAGCUUUAUAUUGGUACGUUAUUCAGUGCUUUCGCGUAUAUUCUGCUGCGUGGAUUGAUUCAAGCGCUCAGAUUCUUUAUAUUUUAGUGUCGACAAGUAAUUAAAAAACCAACCUAACCAUGGAUGCCAUUAAGAAGAAAAUGCAAGCGAUGAAGCUUGAAAAGGACAACGCACAAGAUAAAGCCGAUACCUGUGAGGGUCAAGCCAAAGAUGCCAAUCUUCGUGCCGACAAAGUCAACGAAGAAGUCCGUGAUUUGGGAAAGAAGUUGGUUCAAGUUGAAGGUGACUUGGAGAAUGCCAAGAACCAGCUUGAGCUCGCCAACCAAGACUUGGAAGAGAAGGAAAAAACUCUAACAGCUACAGAAUCUGAAGUAGCCACACAGAAUCGCAAGGUUCAACAGAUUGAAGAAGAUUUGGAAAAGUCUGAAGAACGGUCUGGCAGUGCUUCGCAGAAAUUGCUGGAAGCCACCCAAUCGGCUGACGAGAACAAUCGUAUGUGUCAAGUACUUGAAAAUCGUUCACGACAGGAUGAAGAGCGUAUGGAUCAACUCACCAACCAAUUGAAGGAAGCCCGUCUUCUUGCAGAAGAUGCUGACGGUAAAUCCGAUGAAGUAUCUCGCAAGUUGGCCUUCGUUGAAGAUGAAUUGGAAGUAGCUGAAGAUCGUGUCAAAUCCGGUGAAGCCAAGAUCAUGGAACUUGAAGAAGAAUUGAAAGUCGUAGGAAACUCCCUCAAAUCUCUAGAAGUAUCGGAAGAAAAGGCCAACCAGAGAGUAGAAGAAUUCAAACGUGAAAUGAAAACACUCACGGUCAAAUUGAAGGAGGCUGAAAACCGUGCCGAACAGGCCGAGAAAUCGGUCAAGAGGCUCCAGAAGGAAGUUGACAGACUAGAAGAUCGUCUGUUCAACGAGAAAGAAAAGUACAAAGCAAUAUGCGACGACUUGGAUUCAACAUUCGCCGAACUUACUGGAUAUUAAAUUAUUAUUUUUCUUUUACCUGUCGUUACCCUAUCUAUCUUGUACAUGACAUACUUUUAUUUUUGUUUAUCAUUUUCUGUCCCAAACAUCACAUACACCCACAGAAACCACAAAACCCGAAUGAAUUCCACAGAAUAUAUUCAUUAGAAUUCUCAUUAACGUCCGCUAUAACCACACGUUUCAUUGAUAAAAUUGAUUCAUUUUCGUUUCGUUAUACUAAUCCCCAUCCAAACCGCCAUGUAAAUGAAUCAAUAAGUCAUCAUCCCUAAUACACGAAAAAAUGUAAAAUAGAAAAAAAAAUAGAUUUCAACAUCGAAAAACUAAUGAUAAAACAAAGAAAACUUGCUUCGGCCAAUAAUCUGAAGAAGAUGCGGUGCAUAUAAAUAAUUGUAAAUUGAGAUGAAUUGGGCAUUAACAAGGACCGAUACAAGAGUCUUGCUGAUGAGAUGGAUUCGACUUUCGCUGAAUUGGCCGGUUAUUAAACCUUCACGUAAAGACUAUUAUGCCUUCGACAUCAUUUUCAACAGCAACAACAACGAAUGGUACACUUAACGUAAAAUACACAUCCAAAUUUGCUGGAGAUGGAAUCAGAAAUUCAAAAAAAAAAAUUAUUAUAAAACACAAAUUUGUUAACUUUUAUUUCUGAACGAUUAAAAUAAAGAUCAAUUUUGUGCCUAAUCUU